rnacentral:rRNA from 1 species
UGCAAGUCGAGCGGUACAGGGGUAGCUUGCUACCCGCUGACGAGCGGCGGACGGGUGAGUAAUGCAUGGGAAUCUGCCCGAUAGUGGGGGAUAACUCGGGGAAACCCGAGCUAAUACCGCAUACGUCCUACGGGAGAAAGCAGGGGAUCUUCGGACCUUGCGCUAUCGGAUGAGCCCAUGUCGGAUUAGCUUGUUGGUGAGGUAACGGCUCACCAAGGCUGCGAUCCGUAGCUGGUCUGAGAGGAUGAUCAGCCACACCGGGACUGAGACACGGCCCGGACUCCUACGGGAGGCAGCAGUGGGGAAUAUUGGACAAUGGGGGCAACCCUGAUCCAGCCAUGCCGCGUGUGUGAAGAAGGCCUUCGGGUUGUAAAGCACUUUCAGUGGGGAAGAAGGCGUGCCGAUUAAUACCCGGCAUGAAGGACAUCACCCACAGAAGAAGCACCGGCUAACUCCGUGCCAGCAGCCGCGGUAAUACGGAGGGUGCAAGCGUUAAUCGGAAUUACUGGGCGUAAAGGGCGCGUAGGCGGCUUGCCAAGCCGGAUGUGAAAGCCCCGGGCUCAACCCGGGAACGGCAUUCGGAACUGGCAGGCUAGAGUGCAGGAGAGGAAGGUGGAAUUCCCGGUGUAGCGGUGAAAUGCGUAGAGAUCGGGAGGAAUACCAGUGGCGAAGGCGGCCUUCUGGACUGACACUGACGCUGAGGCGCGAAAGCGUGGGUAGCAAACAGGAUUAGAUACCCUGGUAGUCCACGCCGUAAACGAUGUCGACCAGCCGUUGGACCCCUUGAGGGUUUGGUGGCGCAGUUAACGCAAUAAGUCGACCGCCUGGGGAGUACGGCCGCAAGGCUAAAACUCAAAUGAAUUGACGGGGGCCCGCACAAGCGGUGGAGCAUGUGGUUUAAUUCGAUGCAACGCGAAGAACCUUACCUGCUCUUGACAUCCUGCGAAUCUCCCAGAGAAUGGGAGAGUGCCUUCGGGAACGCAGAGACAGGUGCUGCAUGGCUGUCGUCAGCUCGUGUUGUGAAAUGGUUGGGUUAAGUCCCGUAACGAGCGCAACCCCUAUCCC